UAAAUUGGUGAUGGUUUCCCUCCUUCCCUCCCUCCUUUUUCAGUGCUGGGGAUCGAACUCAGGGUCUCACCUACACUAGACAAGUGAUCUUACGCUCAGCUACGUCCACAGACUGGCAGCGGUUUCGAAGUAAAGUCUGAAGGAGCUCAGGAUGUCCCCAGCUCCUGGGACAAAGUGCUAAGGAAAGCAAAGUCAAGCAAAGUUAGGGCUCCUGAUUCCUUGGAAAUAGAAGAAAGAGAAAUUAAAGGUUUGGCCGAAGACCUUGUAAACAGGAAAACUUUGUUUCGCACGUGGAGUACAAACACGAAUACUCUGAAGGUCUUCUUACAGUUGUCCUCCCGAAGGCUCCGCGUCUCUCUGGAGCCCGUUCUGUUCUCAGUGUCUGUGCUGCUGGCCUGUGGUUGUUCUCAAGCCUGGAAGAUGCACUUGGAGAAUUUGGAGCAAGUGCAGCGCCCCGUGAAGCUCUCAGCGGAGUGUUGGUUUUCACAGGGCAUGCACAGUGUUGCUACAUGUGUUCCAGCUCCCCAGAGCCAGCGCAAGGAUGGAUGGGACCCAUGAGUACUGACCUCUAGCUACAAACUGGCCUUUGAUUGACUACUUUGUUGUGCACGGUUGAUAUCCAUUACUUGUCACUUUUUAAAACAGGUUGGUAGCUGGGUGUGGUGGCACACACCUGUGAUCCCAGCGUGUGGGAGGCUGAGGCAGGAGGAUCUCUCUGAGUUCAAGGCCAGCCUGUGCAACAAAAUGAGACCAUGUCUCAAAAGGAAAAAAAAUG
rnacentral:lncRNA from 1 species